rnacentral:rRNA from 1 species
AUUGAACGCUGGCGGCAGGCCUACCACAUGCAAGUCGAACGAGUGGCGGACGGGUGAGUAAUGUCUGGGGAUCUGCCCGAUGGUGGGGGAAAACUACUGGAAACGGUAUCUAAUACCGCAUACUAUCAGAUGUGCCCAUAUGGGUUUAGCUUUUUGGUGGGGUAAAGGCUCACCAAGGCGACGAUCCCUAGCUGGUCUGAGAGGAUGACCAGCCACACUGGAACUGAGACACGGUCCAGACUCCUACGGGAGGCAGCAGUGGGGAAUAUUGCACAAUGGGCGCAAGCCUGAUGCAGCCAUGCCGCGUGUAUGAAGAAGGCCUUAGGGUUGUAAAGUACUUUCAGCGGGGAGGCGUUACCCGCAGAAGAAGCACCGGCUAACUCCGUGCCAGCAGCCGCGGUAAUAC